GUGUGACUGCGUACCUUUUGUAUAAUGGGUCAGCGACUUAUAUUCUGUAGCAAGGUUAACCGAAUAGGGGAGCCGGAGGGAAACCGAGUCUUAAUUGGGCGUUAAGUUGCAGGGUAUAGACCCGAAACCCGGUGAUCUAGCCAUGGGCAGGUUGAAGGUUGGGUAACACUAACUGGAGGACCGAACCGACUAAUGUUGAAAAAUUAGCGGAUGACCUGUGGCUGGGGGUGAAAGGCCAAUCAAACCGGGAGAUAGCUGGUUCUCCCCGAAAGCUAUUUAGGUAGCGCCUCGUGAAUUCAUCUCCGGGGGUAGAGCACUGUUUCGGCUAGGGGGCCAUCCCGGCUUACCAACCCGAUGCAAACUGCGAAUACCGGAGAAUGUUAUCACGGGAGACACACGGCGGGUGCUAACGUCCGUCGUGAAGAGGGAAACAACCCAGACCGCCAGCUAAGGUCCCAAAGUCAUGGUUAAGUGGGAAACGAUGUGGGAAGGCCCAGACAGCCAGGAUGUUGGCUUAGAAGCAGCCAUCAUUUAAAGAAAGCGUAAUAGCUCACUGGUCGAGUCGGCCUGCGCGGAAGAUGUAACGGGGCUAAACCAUGCACCGAAGCUGCGGCAGCGACACUCAGGUGUUGUUGGGUAGGGGAGCGUUCUGUAAGCCUGCGAAGGUGGCCUGUGAGGGUUGCUGGAGGUAUCAGAAGUGCGAAUGCUGACAUAAGUAACGAUAAAGCGGGUGAAAAGCCCGCUCGCCGGAAGACCAAGGGUUCCUGUCCAACGUUAAUCGGGGCAGGGUGAGUCGACCCCUAAGGCGAGGCCGAAAGGCGUAGUCGAUGGGAAACGGGUUAAUAUUCCCGUACUUGGUGUUACUGCGAAGGGGGGACGGAGAAGGCUAUGUUGGCCGGGCGACGGUUGUCCCGGUUUAAGCGUGUAGGUGUGUGUUCCAGGUAAAUCCGGUUCACUUUAACACUGAGGCGUGACGACGAGGCACUACGGUGCUGAAGCAACAAAUGCCCUGCUUCCAGGAAAAGCCUCUAAGCAUCAGGUAACAUCAAAUCGUACCCCAAACCGACACAGGUGGUCAGGUAGAGAAUACCAAGGCGCUUGAGAGAACUCGGGUGAAGGAACUAGGCAAAAUGGUGCCGUAACUUCGGGAGAAGGCACGCUGACACGUAGGUGAAGUGAUUUACUCAUGGAGCUGAAGUCAGUCGAAGAUACCAGCUGGCUGCAACUGUUUAUUAAAAACACAGCACUGUGCAAACACGAAAGUGGACGUAUACGGUGUGACGCCUGCCCGGUGCCGGAAGGUUAAUUGAUGGGGUCAGCGCAAGCGAAGCUCCUGAUCGAAGCCCCGGUAAACGGCGGCCGUAACUAUAACGGUCCUAAGGUAGCGAAAUUCCUUGUCGGGUAAGUUCCGACCUGCACGAAUGGCGUAAUGAUGGCCAGGCUGUCUCCACCCGAGACUCAGUGAAAUUGAACUCGCUGUGAAGAUGCAGUGUACCCGCGGCAAGACGGAAAGACCCCGUGAACCUUUACUAUAGCUUGACACUGAACAUUGAGCCUUGAUGUGUAGGAUAGGUGGGAGGCUUUGAAGUGUGGACGCCAGUCUGCAUGGAGCCGACCUUGAAAUACCACCCUUUAAUGUUUGAUGUUCUAACGUGGACCCGUGAUCCGGGUUGCGGACAGUGUCUGGUGGGUAGUUUGACUGGGGCGGUCUCCUCCUAAAGAGUAACGGAGGAGCACGAAGGUUGGCUAAUCCUGGUCGGACAUCAGGAGGUUAGUGCAAUGGCAUAAGCCAGCUUGACUGCGAGCGUGACGGCGCGAGCAGGUGCGAAAGCAGGUCAUAGUGAUCCGGUGGUUCUGAAUGGAAGGGCCAUCGCUCAACGGAUAAAAGGUACUCCGGGGAUAACAGGCUGAUACCGCCCAAGAGUUCAUAUCGACGGCGGUGUUUGGCACCUCGAUGUCGGCUCAUCACAUCCUGGGGCUGAAGUAGGUCCCAAGGGUAUGGCUGUUCGCCAUUUAAAGUGGUACGCGAGCUGGGUUUAGAACGUCGUGAGACAGUUCGGUCCCUAUCUGCCGUGGGCGCUGGAGAACUGAGGGGGGCUGCUCCUAGUACGAGAGGACCGGAGUGGACGCAUCACUGGUGUUCGGGUUGUCAUGCCAAUGGCACUGCCCGGUAGCUAAAUGCGGAAGAGAUAAGUGCUGAAAGCAUCUAAGCACGAAACUUGCCCCGAGAUGAGUUCUCCCUGAGACUUUAGGUCUCCUGAAGGAACGUUGAAGACGACGACGUUGAUAGGCCGGGUGUGUAAGCGCAGCGAUGCGUUGAGCUAACCGGUACUAAUGAACCGUGAGGCUUAACCUUAC
rnacentral:rRNA from 1 species